UACGUAGGGUGCGAGCGUUGUCCGGAAUUAUUGGGCGUAAAGAGCUUGUAGGCGGUUUGUCGCGUCUGCUGUGAAAUUUCGGGGCUCAACCCCGAACUUGCAGUGGGUACGGGCAGACUAGAGUGUGGUAGGGGAGACUGGAAUUCCUGGUGUAGCGGUGAAAUGUGUAGAUAUUGGAAAGACCACCGAUGGCGAAGGCACUCUACUGGGCCAUGACUGACACUGAGAGACGAAAGCUAGGGGAGCAAAUGGG
rnacentral:rRNA from 1 species